rnacentral:rRNA from 1 species
UACGUAGGGGGCAAGCGUUGUCCGGAAUUACUGGGCGUAAAGGGCGCGUAGGCGGUCUGUUGCGUCGGAUGUGAAAACUCGGGGCUCAACUCCGAGCUUGCAGUCGAUACGGGCAGGCUAGAGUUCGGCAGGGGAGACUGGAAUUCCUGGUGUAGCGGUGAAAUGCGCAGAUAUCAGGAGGAACACCAGUGGCGAAGGCAGCUCGCUGGGACGGUACUGACGCUGAGACGCGAAAGCGUGGGGAGCAAACAGG